AGAUUGAACGCUGGCGGCAUGCCUAACACAUGCAAGUCGAACGGGAGUAGCAAUACUCUAGUGGCGGACGGGUGAGGAAUACGUAGGAAUUUGCCCUUAAGUGGGGGAUAACCCGGGGAAACCCGGAUUAAUACCGCAUGACCUCGAAAGAGCAAAGUGGGGGAUCGCAAGACCUCACGCUUUUGGAGAAGCCUACGUCGGAUUAGCUAGUUGGUGAGGUAAUGGCUCACCAAGGCGACGAUCCGUAACUGGUCUGAGAGGAUGAUCAGUCACACCGGAACUGAGACACGGUCCGGAUCCUACGGGAGCAGCAGUGGGGAAUAUUGGACAAUGGGCGCAAGCCUGAUCCAGCAAUGCCGCGU
rnacentral:rRNA from 1 species